rnacentral:rRNA from 1 species
AAAUUGAAGAGUUUGAUCAUGGCUCAGAUUGAACGCUGGCGGCAGGCCUAACACAUGCAAGUCGAGCGGUAGCACAGAGAGCUUGCUCUCGGGUGACGAGCGGCGGACGGGUGAGUAAUGUCUGGGAAACUGCCUGAUGGAGGGGGAUAACUACUGGAAACGGUAGCUAAUACCGCAUAACGUCGCAAGACCAAAGUGGGGGACCUUCGGGCCUCAUGCCAUCAGAUGUGCCCAGAUGGGAUUAGCUAGUAGGUGGGGUAACGGCUCACCUAGGCGACGAUCCUAGCUGGUCUGAGAGGAUGACCAGCCACACUGGAACUGAGACACGGUCCAGACUCCUACGGGAGGCAGCAGUGGGGAAUAUUGCACAAUGGGCGCAAGCCUGAUGCAGCCAUGCCGCGUGUGUGAAGAAGGCCUUCGGGUUGUAAAGCACUUUCAGCGGGGAGGAAGGCGUUAAGGUUAAUAACCUUGGCGAUUGACGUUACCCGCAGAAGAAGCACCGGCUAACUCCGUGCCAGCAGCCGCGGUAAUACGGAGGGUGCAAGCGUUAAUCGGAAUUACUGGGCGUAAAGCGCACGCAGGCGGUCUGUCAAGUCGGAUGUGAAAUCCCCGGCUCAACCGGGAACUGCAUUCGAAACUGGCAGGCUAGAGUCUUGUAGAGGGGUAGAAUUCCGUGUAGCGGUGAAAUGCGUAGAGAUCUGGAGGAAUACCGGUGGCGAAGGCGGCCCCCUGGACAAAGACUGACGCUCAGGUGCGAAAGCGUGGGGAGCAAACAGGAUUAGAUACCCUGGUAGUCCACGCCGUAAACGAUGUCGAUUUGGAGGUUGUGCCCUUGAGGCGUGGCUUCCGGAGCUAACGCGUUAAAUCGACCGCCUGGGGAGUACGGCCGCAAGGUUAAAACUCAAAUGAAUUGACGGGGGCCCGCACAAGCGGUGGAGCAUGUGGUUUAAUUCGAUGCAACGCGAAGAACCUUACCUGGUCUUGACAUCCACAGAACUUUCCAGAGAUGGAUUGGUGCCUUCGGGAACUGUGAGACAGGUGCUGCAUGGCUGUCGUCAGCUCGUGUUGUGAAAUGUUGGGUUAAGUCCCGCAACGAGCGCAACCCUUAUCCUUUGUUGCCAGCGGUCCGGCCGGGAACUCAAAGGAGACUGCCAGUGAUAAACUGGAGGAAGGUGGGGAUGACGUCAAGUCAUCAUGGCCCUUACGACCAGGGCUACACACGUGCUACAAUGGCAUAUACAAAGAGAAGCGACCUCGCGAGAGCAAGCGGACCUCAUAAAGUAUGUCGUAGUCCGGAUUGAGUCUGCAACUCGACUCCAUGAAGUCGGAAUCGCUAGUAAUCGUAGAUCAGAAUGCUACGGUGAAUACGUUCCCGGGCCUUGUACACACCGCCCGUCACACCAUGGGAGUGGGUUGCAAAAGAAGUAGGUAGCUUAACCUUCGGGAGGGCGCUUACCACUUUGUGAUUCAUGACUGGGGUGAAGUCGUAACAAGGUAACCGUAGGGGAACCUGCGGUUGGAUCACCUCCUUACCUUAAAGAA